GACAGAGGGUGCAAACGUUGUUCGGAAUUACUGGGCGUAAAGCGCGUGUAGGCGGCCAUGCAAGUCGGAUGUGAAAGCCCUCGGCUCAACCGGGGAAGUGCACUCGAAACUGCAAGGCUAGAGUCUCGGAGAGGAUCGUGGAAUUCUCGGUGUAGAGGUGAAAUUCGUAGAUAUCGAGAGGAACACCGGUGGCGAAGGCGGCACUGGUGACGGUGACUGACGGCUGAGGCGACGAAACUAG
rnacentral:rRNA from 1 species